GUCACCUGGAGAUCUUGUUAAAAUGCAGAUUCUGGUUCAGGAGGCUGGGGUGAGGCUUGAGAAUCUGCAUUUCUAGCAAGUCCCCAGGUGAUGCUGA
rnacentral:pre_miRNA from 1 species